rnacentral:misc_RNA from 1 species
GAGGAGGGCAUCGAAGACGAAUACCAGCUAGAGGAUGUCGAAGUUGUUUCAGCAGAUUAUAUACUUAAGGUGGGAGUGUCCAACUUCAGGAAUGCUUGGGAAAGCUUGGGUCCAGACUGUGAGCGUAUCGAUGAGUAUGGGUUUGGUGUGAGGGAAAGCCUGGCAGAAGCUCUAAGCGCUGUUGUCAACAUUCUCGGGAUGCAGCCCUGCGAGGGAACUGAGGUGGUUCCGAGCAAUUCGAGGUCGCAUACUUGUCUGUUAUCAGGUGUGUUUAUUGGCAAUGUGAAAGUGCUGGUGAGGUUGUCAUUUGGGAUCGAUGCAUCUAAGCAGGUGGCGAUGAAGCUUGCAGUUAGAUCUG